rnacentral:rRNA from 1 species
CAGUCGCCGCGGGAAUACGUAGGGUGCAAGCGUUAUCCGGAAUUAUUGGGCGUAAAGAGCUCGUAGGCGGUCUGUCGCGUCUGCUGUGAAAACUGGGGGCUCAACCCCCAGCCUGCAGUGGGUACGGGCAGACUAGAGUGCGGUAGGGGAGAUUGGAAUUCCUGGUGUAGCGGUGGAAUGCGCAGAUAUCAGGAGGAACACCGAUGGCGAAGGCAGAUCUCUGGGCCGUAACUGACGCUGAGGAGCGAAAGCAUGGGGAGCGAACAGGAUUAGAUACCCCUGUAGUCCCUGUCUCUUAUAC